rnacentral:lncRNA from 1 species
UUCGUAGGAAAUCUCGGCCGAGGACUUCCACCGCCGGUGGGUGUGUUUUUUUCUGGACCAGGCUCAGAAUGUAGCCAUCCAUUUUCUUGCUGGAUGAAGGAUGGGAAGCAGACCACAGACUGCUUGGGGACGGUAUUCCGGAAGCAGUUGAAAGUGAUCGCCUACUGCUCCCUUCUGUUGCCAACGGAAUCUCACUUCCCCCUACUGUUUUGAUUUUUCUUUCCCUUUCUUUUUAAAGCAGGUGCUGGUACUUCUUCCUCCACUAGUGCUAUUUCAUUAUCUCCUUUCUAAUGUUGUUCAGCCCUAGUUGGUUCUUUUGCUUUCCCUGGACACGCCUGUCUGCUCAGAAAAACUGUUAAUUGACACUCAGAAAGUGUACCACUAACGAUGGGGUGGACCUGCUGCCUGGAUGAUCUGGAGAGUAAGAUAAAGUUGCCAGCAUGAAAAAGAGUCUUGGCUGAAUAUAUUACAGUGGUGUUAACUUAUGCUUGAAGAUCUUUCCUGGGCAGAGCCAGAACAUGUCCCUCAUAUCACACAGUCUGAUGCUUUGUCCUU